UACGGUGGGUGCAAGCGUUGUUCGGAAUUACUGGGCGUAAAGCGGGUGUAGGCGGCCGCACAAGUCAGAUGUGAAAUCCCUGGGCCCAACCCAGGAACUGCAUUUGAUACUGCGUGGCUCGAGUCCCGGAGAGGAUGGCGGAAUUCCAGGUGUAGAGGUGAAAUUCGUAGAUAUCUGGAGGAACACCAGCGGCGAAGGCGGCCAUCUGGACGGUGACUGACGCUCAGACCCGAAAGCGUGGGGAGCAAACAGG
rnacentral:rRNA from 1 species